rnacentral:rRNA from 1 species
UACGGAGGGGGCAAGCGUUAUCCGGAUUCACUGGGCUUAAAGGGAGCGUAGGCGGGUUGGUAAGUCAGUGGUGAAAUCCCCGAGCUUAACUUGGGAACUGCCAUUGAUACUAUCAGUCUUGAAUACUGUGGAGGUUAGCGGAAUAUGUCAUGUAGCGGUGAAAUGCUUAGAUAUGACAUAGAACACCAAUUGCGAAGGCAGCUGGCUGCACAAAUAUUGACGCUGAGGCUCGAAAGCGUGGGGAUCAAACAGG